CUUGAGGGAGCCGAGCCAGAGCGGCCGGUCCUCUGGCCUGCCCUGGCCGUAGGUGGCCAGCAGGGCCUGCGCCUC
rfam:Streptomyces sp. PVA 94-07 chromosome, whole genome shotgun sequence.